AUAGGUGAAUACGUUGGAAAGUUAAAAAGGAAAUUUAAAGUUUAUCUGUACGCAGCGAUUAACGAAAAACGAUUCUGAGCGGAGUUCGGUUAUACUAUGUGUUUUGAAAGGCCGUAAUACUUACGAUUUGAAAAUAAUACAUUUCGUAAAGUUUUUCCGGUUUUCCUACGUUUUUCCCCAUUUAUCAUGAAAACUCCUGGGAAAAUUAAAAAAAUGACUCGCCAUGUAGUACCGUCCCAGU